CGGCCGAAUCGCCCUUCCGUAGGGUGACCUGCGGAGGGAUCAUUACCGAGUUUACAACUCCCAAACCCCUGUGAACAUACCUAUUUGUUGCCUCGGCGGUGCCUGUUCCGACAGCCCGCCWKAGGACCCCAAACCCUGAUUACAUUUAAGAAGUCUUCUGAGUAAACCGUAUUAAAUAAAUCAAAACUUUCAACAACGGAUCUCUUGGUUCUGGCAUCGAUGAAGAACGCAGCGAAAUGCGRUAAGUAAUGUGAAUUGCAGAAUUCRGUGAAUCAUCGAAUCUUUGAACGCACAUUGCGCCCGCUAGUAUUCUGGCGGGCAUGCCUGUCCGAGCGUCMUUUCAACCCUCAAGCCCCCGGGCUUGGUGUUGGGGAUCGGCGAGACCUCCGCGCCCGCCGUCCCCUAAAUUCUAGUGGCUGGUCUCGCUGUAGCUUCCUCUGCGGUAGUAGCACACCUSGCACUGGGAAACAGCGCGGCCACGCCGUCUAGACCCCCAACUUCUGAACGUUUGACCUCGGAUCAGGAAGGAAUACCCGCAUGAACUUAACCAUACCAAUAAGCGGAGGAACUUGGUUCUUUUUUUUA
rnacentral:rRNA from 1 species